rnacentral:rRNA from 1 species
AUGGAGCGGCGAGGAGGAGCGGCGGCGCCGUCGCUGGAGCUGCCGGGGUUCCGCUUCCACCCCACGGAGGAGGAGCUGCUGGAGUUCUACCUCAAGCACCAUGUCACCCGAAACAACAAGCAGCAGCACCUCAAGGCGGCGCCGUUCGACAUCAUCCCCACGGUGCACCUGUACCGGCACGACCCCUGGGACCUCCCGGGGCUCGCCGCCAUCGCCAGCGAGCGCGAGUGGUACUUCUUCGUGCCCCGCGACGGCGCCCGGAAGCACGCGUCCGGCGUUGCCGGCGGCGGGCGCCCCAGCCGCACCACGGAGCGCGGGUUCUGGAAGGCCACGGGGUCCGACCGCGCCGUGCGGUGCGCCGCCGACCCCAAGCGCCUCGUCGGCCUCAAGAAGACGCUCGUCUACUACCAGGGCCGCGCGCCCCGGGGCACCAAGACGGACUGGGUCAUGAACGAGUACCGCCUGCCCGACCUCUCCGGCGCCGGCGCCGGCGAGCAGCAGGACGUGGUGCUCUGCAAGGUGUACCGCAAGGCCGUGUCGCUCAAGGAGCUGGAGCAGCGGGUCGCCAUGGAGGAGCUCGCGCGCGCGCGGUCCUCCCCGCCCACCACGGCCUCCCACUCCCACUCCCACUCCCACUGCAGCGCUGGCUCGCCCGACGUCUCGUCCGCGUCCGAGCUCGCCCACGAGGCCGCCCUCCACCAUGUCCACCACGGGGUGAAGAAGGAGGAGGCCGUGGCGGUGGCGAGGCCGCCGGCCAUGCGGCUGCCGCAGCUGGAGACCGCGAAGGCCAACGGCGGGCUGGAGUGGAUGCAGGACCCGUUCCUGACGCAGCUGAGGAGCCCAUGGAUGGAGGGCCUCUGCUUGUCUCCCUACUACGCCAGCGUCCUCAACUUCUAG